rnacentral:rRNA from 1 species
UGCCAGCCGCCGCGGUAAUACGAAGGGUGCUAUCGUUGUUCGGAAUUACUGGGCGUAAAGAGCAUGUAGGCGGAUGAAUUAGUCAGAGGUGAAAGCCCCGAGCUCAACUUGGGAACUGCCUUUGAUACUGUUUAUCUAGAGUCCGAGAGAGGUUAGUGGAAUUCCCAGUGUAGAGGUGAAAUUCGUAGAUAUUGGGAAGAACACCAGGGGCGAAGGCGGCUAAAUGGCUCGGUAAGGAAGCGGAGAUGAGAACGCGUGGGGCGCAAACAGGAGUAGAUC